rnacentral:rRNA from 1 species
GACGAACUCUGGCGGCAGGCCUAACACAUGCAAGUCGAGCGGAGCGGCGGACGGGUGAGUAUUGCCUAGGAAUCUGCCUGGUAGUGGGGGAUAACGUCCGGAAACGGGCGCUACUACCACAUACUCUCAUAUCAGCCUAGGUCGGAUUAGCUAGGUGGUUGGGUAAAGGCCUACCAAGGCGACGAUCCGUAACUGGUCUGCGAGGAUGAUCAGUCACACUGGAACGGAGACACGGUCCAGACUCCUACGGGAGGGAGCAGUGGGAAAUAUUGGACAAUGGGCGAAAGCCUGAUCCAGCCAUGCCGCGUGUGUGAAGAAGGUCUUCGGAUUGUAAAGCACUUUAAGUUGGGAGGCGGUACCAACAGAAUAAGCACCGGCUAACUUCGUGCCAGCAGCCGCGGUAAUUC